rnacentral:lncRNA from 1 species
AUACAUGUCAAAUUAUUUCAUGGUUACAAUUCAAAAAUUUUAUAGAUCACAAUUUGCUAAUCGAUCACAAAUCAAAAAUUUAUAAGUCACAAUUUAUUUUAUCGGUCAAAAAUCACAUAUAUUAUAAGUCAUAACUUAUUAUACAAUUACAAAUUAUUAAAUUAUCGGUUACAAACUAACAAUUUUUUAGGUUACACAUUAUUUUCUGAUCACAAUUUAUCAUUUUCACUGGUCACAGAUUAACCAAUUUAAUGGCCACAAUCAAGAUCCAACACCGCCACCCAACACACCAGAUCACGAGCAUACCAACCCCUGUCCAAAAUCACCGCACAAAACAUCAACAAAGUCACCGUCCAACCAUUAACAAAAGCACUGCCUACACAAUCAUCGCACCACCAUCACCAACACGGCUUAACAACAUAACACAAUUGCACUACCACCAACACAGACACAACCCAACAAACCAAAACUGAAUGAUCGCCACCACGACCGAAGCUAAUGCCACUAGCUAAAGCUGUGCUGAUUGCAUCUCCUUCGUCGCCAAAUCCGAUACCAAAACCAUCUUUAAACACAAAUUCGAAACCAAUCCCACAAACACCACAAUCUUCUCAACCACGCCACAAAAUCCAAAUCCAACACUGUUGCAGCAAAACCACUGAUCUAUAAACCCAAGUCCAACGAUGAUCACCAAAAUCACUGAUGUGGCGAAGAAAGAGUCGUGCAGCGAAGAGAGAUACGAAGAAAGAGACGGGGCAUGGUAAAGAAAAAGAUGGGAACGGCGAAGGGCAGCCUUGAUGUGUGAGCAGGGCCGGUCCUGAGACGAGGCG